GUAAGGAAUAUUGGUCAAUGGACGCAAGUCUGAACCAGCCAUGCCGCGUGGAGGAUGAAGGCCCUCUGGGUUGUAAACUUCUUUUAUCUGGGACGAAACCCAUCCAUUCUUGGGUGAUUGACGGUACCAGAGGAAUAAGCACCGGCUAACUCCGUGCCAGCAGCCGCGGUAAUACGGAGGGUGCAAGCGUUAUCCGGAUUCACUGGGUUUAAAGGGUGCGUAGGCGGGCAGGUAAGUCAGUGGUGAAAUCUCCAAGCUUAACUUGGAAACUGCCGUUGAUACUAUCUGUCUUGAAUACUGUGGAGGUGAGCGGAAUAUGUCAUGUAGCGGUGAAAUGCUUAGAUAUGACAUAGAACACCAAUUGCGAAGGCAGCUCACUACACAGCCAUUGACGCUGAGGCACGAAAGCGUGGGGAUCAAACAGGAUUAGAAACCCUAGUAGUCC
rnacentral:rRNA from 1 species